rnacentral:rRNA from 1 species
UGUGUGUCGUAGUUAACGCGUUAAACAGGGCGCCUGGGAAGUACGGCCGCAAGGCUAAAACCCAAAGGAAUUGACGGGGACCCGCACAAGCAGUGGAGCGCCUGGUUUAAUUCGAUGGUCAGCGAAGAACCUCACCUAGGCUUGAACUGUAGCUGCACACUCCCAGAAACGGGAGAAUCCUUCGAGGGUGCUACAGAGGUGCUGCAUGGCUGUCGUCAGCUCGUGUCGUGAGAUGUAGGGUUAAGUCCCACAACGAGCGCAACCCCUAUUCAGUGUUAUAAUUACUCUGAAGACUGCCCUGUCCAAACGGGGAGGAAGGAGGGGACGACGUCCAGUCAUCAUGUCCCUUAUGUCUAGGGCUACACAGACGCUACAAUGGCCGGUACAAUGGGUUGCCAAACCGCGAGGUGGAGCCAAUCCCAUCAAAGCCGGUCCCAGUUCGGAUUGCAGUCUGCAACUCGACUGCAUGAAGUUGGAAUUGCUAGUAAUCGCGAAUCAGCACGUCGCGGUGAUACGUUCUCGGGUCUUGUACACACCGCCCGUCAGGGCACGGGAGUCGCUCUUGCUCGAAGUUCC